UACGUAGGGGGCAAGCGUUGUCCGGAAUUAUUGGGCGUAAAGAGCGUGUAGGCGGUCCGGUAAGUCAGCUGUGAAAGUCAAGGGCUCAACCCUUGAAUGCCGGUUGAUACUGUCGGGCUAGAGUCCGGAAGAGGCGAGUGGAAUUCCCGGUGUAGCGGUGAAAUGCGCAGAUAUCGGGAGGAACACCAAUGGCGAAGGCGGCAUCCUGGACCAACACUGACGCUGAGUGAGCGAAAGCCAGGGGAGCAAACGGG
rnacentral:rRNA from 1 species